rnacentral:rRNA from 1 species
CUACGGGCGGCUGCAGUGGGGAAUAUUGGGCAAUGGGCGCAAGCCUGACCCAGCAGCGCCGCGUGAGGGAUGAAGGUUUUCGGAUCGUAAACCUCUGUCAGGAGGGAAGAAGUGGGCAUGGUUUAAUACAUCAUGCCUUUGACGGUACCUCCAGAGGAAGCACCGGCUAACUCCGUGCCAGCAGCCGCGGUAAUACGGAGGGUGCGAGCGUUAUUCGGAAUUACUGGGCGUAAAGCGCGCGUAGGCGGCAAGGUAAGUCAGAUGUGAAAGCCCACGGCCCAACCGUGGAACUGCAUUUGAAACUGCUUAGCUGGAGUACGGGAGAGGAUAGCGGAAUUCCCGGUGUAGGAGUGAAAUCCGUAGAUAUCGGGAGGAACACCAGUGGCGAAGGCGGCUAUCUGGCCCGUAACUGACGCUGAGGUGCGAAAGCGUGGGGAGCAAACAGGAUUAGAUACCCUUGUAGUC